CACUAUAUUGUCUUCCUCUGGUCCUCUCUUGGGACAUGUGCCUGGGAAGGCUGCAAGGGCCGGUCCCCAGCCUCCCCCAGCUGCCGUGCUGCUAUUCAAAGGGACCCUGUUGGGGUGGAGGAGCAGGUGCUCUGUGGGCUGCAGCCCCUUGGUUUGACAGGGUUAUGUUCUUGGCUCCUUCAGGCCUGUGCCAUUUGAGCUGGGAUUGUGGUCCUUGGAGACCUGGAAGGACCUGGAGAGCUGAUAUGGAAGGCUAUAGCUACUGACUACAGUUCCUGCUGUGGAGAAACCAAUGCCAAGUCAGCCUGGAGGAGAGGAGGCUAGCUUCCUGGAAGAUGGCCCUACCUGCACUUCCUGUUCUCCAUGACUGCUUUCUGCUUAAAAAGCAAUGACAUGGACUGAAGGCCUCCACCAUUUCCUUCCAUUGGCCUAUGCACCCUGGAGGGAAACUGACUUCGUGCUCCGGACAGAAGCCCUGAGGCCCUGGCGACACCCAUGGUAGCAGUCCCGCCCCAGCCCCUCACCCUUGUGGCUCUGGCCAUACUGUGUCUUCCACGGAAACCUCAUACCAGGAGUGGCCCAUGCUCACGCCUUCUCACAGCUCCCCAACCAUGAACCUUUGUGCAUCCUGACACGGUCACUCACUGCUCCUGCAGCCUCCACAGCCACAGGGGACUUUGGCUCCUAACUCAGUCCACCCGCCCUUCCUCCAUCCCAGACACCAUCCUGAGUGAUGUCAACACACAGGCGGCUGGUCCACCCCACACGACCUCUCCACCUGACUCCUCAGCUCUGUCACUUCUUAUCUUCCUUCUGAACAACCUCAACCCAAGCUCUGCCACCAACACAUCACUCUCUGUGCAGCCACCUUCCCCGUCUCCAUGUGCUCAGGUCCCCUUUUCUUGACAAUGGUUACUCCGUUUUAAGGAGACCUCCACAGUCUUGUUCUGUUUUCUCUCAGAUAGAUGUCCCUCCAUAUAUUUGUUCCUGGACCUUGGGAGGAUUCCAGAACCUUGGGUUUUCAAAUAUUCUAUAUAAAAUGGAAUAGUAUUUGCAUAGAUCCUA